GCCUUGGCCAGCUCCCCGCCGUUCUGCUGGCACGCCUGCGUCGCGUCGUCCAUGAACCCCGAGAGGGCUAGGUUGAAGUCGGUGAGUUGCGACCUGGUAGUCUCUAGGGUUGCGUCUCCGCCGACUUCGUAGGAGAGGUUCUUCUGGGCCUUCUCCAGGAUCGUUUACAGGGGAAGUGAAGAUGAAAACCGGGAUGAGUGGAGGGGCGACUCGGGGGCCAUCGUCGGUGCUGACGCCGGGGAUCGCCGCCGCUACCCCCGCCGACGGGAGGAGGCACGUGGGGGGCCGGUUUUGGGCGCUGGCCGAGGAUGGCACCGGCGACUCCGACGACGACAAUACCGACUCGGACGGCGGGUCUGCGGGCGCGUCGUCCCCUACCCCAUCUGA
rnacentral:rRNA from 1 species